rnacentral:rRNA from 1 species
AUUGAACGCUGGCGGCAUGCCUUACACAUGCAAGUCGAACGGUAACGGGCCUUCGGGUGCCGACGAGUGGCGAACGGGUGAGUAAUACAUCGGAACGUGCCCGAUCGUGGGGGAUAACGAGGCGAAAGCUUUGCUAAUACCGCAUACGAUCCACGGAUGAAAGCAGGGGACCGCAAGGCCUUGCGCGGACGGAGCGGCCGAUGGCAGAUUAGGUAGUUGGUGGGAUAAAAGCUUACCAAGCCGACGAUCUGUAGCUGGUCUGAGAGGAUGAUCAGCCACACUGGGACUGAGACACGGCCCAGACUCCUACGGGAGGCAGCAGUGGGGAAUUUUGGACAAUGGGCGCAAGCCUGAUCCAGCCAUGCCGCGUGCAGGAUGAAGGCCUUCGGGUUGUAAACUGCUUUUGUACGGAACGAAAAGCCUUCUUUUAAUACAGGAGGGUCAUGACGGUACCGUAAGAAUAAGCACCGGCUAACUACGUG